rnacentral:piRNA from 1 species
UCCACAGAUUGCCCUGUGAAAUGGCUUCC